CAAAUGACUCUCGGCAACGGAUAUCUCGGCUCACGCAUCGAUGAAGAACGUAGCAAAAUGCGAUACUUGGUGUGAAUUGCAGAAUCCCGUGAACCAUCGAGUUUUUGAACGCAAGUUGCGCCCGAAGCCUUUCGGCUGAGGGCACGUCUGCCUGGGCGUCACAC
rnacentral:rRNA from 2 species